UUGUGGCCUGGAGUGCCGCAGGCUCUCUGCCCCCGGCUGGAGCCCUCGCUCUGCCCGUCUCUUGCCCUGGGCAGGCAGGCGGGCAGGCAGGCAGGAGCCCGUCCGGAGCUGUGGACGGGACUCCCUGCCUUGGAAUGCCGGGGGCUGCUGUGCUGGGGGGGCUCUUGGAGCCCCUUAGAGACUCUGCUGGGCUGGCCGAGAGGUCUCCACGACGGGGAGGCGGGUCAGGGCAGGCGGUGGUUCUGGUUGUGGAUCCAGGCUCGAUGGCAUCUUUGGGGAGGGAGCUCGUGCUGAUCCCGCCUGACCGACUCGGGCGGAGAACCUCAACCCCGCCCCAGAUGUCCGAGUCGCCCUUUUAUUUAAGCUGUAACUUCCACCGAUGAUCUGCGCUUCUCCUCCUUUCUGAGCUUGCUUCAAAGGGGAAAGGCAGCCUUCAUUAGCGAAGGUUGGGCUUCUCCUUUCCUGUUCAACGCUUGGAUCUGCUGGUGUAUCCAUGUGGUUAAGGCGGCGCGUGCUGCGAGGGAGUGCCUGGAAAAAGAGAAAGAUAAGCAGAUGAGUAGCUUCUUUGUCGGGAGGGUGUCUUGCUGAGUUCCUAAAACGGAAGGGUGGCAUUCAGGGCUUUUCAUUGCCUUACUAGAGCUUGAAAAGGGAGACUUGAGUCGCCCCCUGAAUGCGCCUUCAGAGCAACUCAUGGUUGGCUGAGCAGCCUGGGCGAAAGUGAAGGGGAAAAAAAGAAAGUGAAGGGAAAGCCUUGUGGAUACCUUCAGAGCCGGCCCUGGCAGUUGGGCAGCUGCCAAGAGACCAGCCUGUUGGCACAAGCCUCAGCCGACCCUGGGGGAACAGCUUUGGUCAUCCGCUCAGGAGGGUCUUUGCCAGUCGGAGCAUCUGCUGAGCCCGGGAGGUCUGUGGUGGAAGGCCAGGCCCUUUCAGGGCAGGAGACACGGCGCCAAGCACCACUGCUUCUCCUUAGCUUUCCAAGCUUGCUCUCAUUAAACACAAUUUCACGUGUCGCUUUUCUUUAACUUGGCGCCUUUUUAAGGAUUUCUAACUCUCGCGAAUGAAGGAAGACAAAUAUAUGGGUCCCAGGAUAAUGUUGCAAGGUCCAAUCUGGGCUGGGCACCGAGACUAGAGAUUUACUCUUCUUAACUCUGCCCAGCCAUGAUUUUGUCUCUGCUUCUCCAGCACAAUUCCUUCAUGCAUUAGUUUUCGUAUUUGAUCCUCGCUAUUUCUGCAUGUCCCAACUACCUCAAUAUGCGUCCUUCAUAGAGAUCAUUCAAUCCUGUAUUUGGUUCGCACUUGUUCAGGUCCAUUCAUAUUUGAUCCUGCCUCUUCUAGUUUCACCACUCACCUUUCUUAGCCCAUUCCCUCCCAUUGCACCCAGCUUAUGUUCAUGCUGCUCCUGAUGUAAACCUUAUUUCCCUAUAACCCAGAGGGCAGAAGAAGCAUACUUUUACUGAUAGCCAUUUUGCAGUUUUAAAACAAGCGUUGAUUUCUUGCAAGAGACCAUAUGGUAGCUACUAGCUUUGUAUGAUCAUUAACAUUUCUCCAUGUAUUUCCUCAUCUUUAGUAAACAUUCGCAAUUUAUCUUCCUGCUUCAGUUUGUCACCAUUUAUUUGUAACUUGUAAGUUAUUAGUUGCAUUUUCCCGGUCAGGUAACCUGGUCCUUGACACUGUAAUUUUCUGGACUAUUCACUUCAUUGAAUCAUAUGAUCUGUCUAACAUGUUCUACAAAUCAUUUGGCUCCUCCUUCUUCUUAUUGUUUUAUUCUUUUAUUAGCUGACUACAAAAACCAAAGGAAAAGAAUAUACAGCAUUUCUAAAAAAAGAAAGCUUAAAAAAGAAACAUAAAUAUAUAGAGCAUUUACUAUAUACUCCCAGAUAUACAAACAUAAAGUUGUAGAGUGAAUGUUUCAAUGAAUGGAAGCCUUAAUUCAUUCUCAUCUAUAAGUAAUUUAUAUUGAUAAGUUAUUGAUUUGUAAAUUGUCGGUGUCAUCAAUUCUGAAUUCUGACAACUGAAUAUUUGAGGCCAUACAUUUGUCUUUCCUAUGCUGAACAAUAGAUCUUAUAGUUAGAAAUAAGGUACAUAAAAUCUGCUUCCUUUUUUUGUGUGUAAUAGGAAUUUAUUUCUGUGUUUAUUGUUGUAUCAAGAUUGAUUAUUGUCCCGCUCGACAUGCAUUGUGAAACUUUUCAUUUAUCUUCACUGGGAUCAUAUCUAUUAAAAUAUUUGUGAUUUUAA